UACGUAGGUGGCAAGCGUUGUCCGGAUUUAUUGGGCGUAAAGAGCACGCAGGUGGUUGAUUAAGUCUGAUGUGAAAGCCCACGGCUUAACCGUGGAGGGUCAUUGGAAACUGGUCGACUUGAGUGCAGAAGAGGGAAGUGGAAUUCCAUGUGUAGCGGUGAAAUGCGUAGAGAUAUGGAGGAACACCAGUGGCGAAGGCGGCUUCCUGGUCUGUAACUGACACUGAGGCGCGAAAGCGUGGGGAGCAAACAGGAUUAGAUACCCCGGUA
rnacentral:rRNA from 1 species